rnacentral:rRNA from 1 species
AACGAACGCUGGCGGCAGGCUUAACACAUGCCAGUCGAGCGCCCCGCAAGGGGAGCGGCAGACGGGCGAGUAACGCGUGGGAACGUACCUUUUGGUUCGGAACAACUCCGGGAAACUGGAGCUAAUACCGGAUAAGCCCUAACGGGGAAAGAUUUAUCGCCGAAAGAUCGGCCCGCGUCUGAUUAGCUAGUUGGUGAGGUAACGGCUCACCAAGGCGACGAUCAGUAGCUGGUCUGAGAGGAUGAUCAGCCACACUGGGACUGAGACACGGCCCAGACUCCUACGGGAGGCAGCAGUGGGGAAUAUUGGACAAUGGGCGCAAGCCUGAUCCAGCCAUGCCGCGUGAGUGAUGAAGGCCUUAGGGUUGUAAAGCUCUUUUGUCCGGGAAGAUAAUGACUGUACCGGAAGAAUAAGCCCCGGCUAACUUCGUG